AAUGAAGCCAACUACUUAAAAUAGGACGUUGGAAACAAAAUGAAACCAGAUAGGGACGACAAAUUAAUACUUGAUUUGCUGAACAAGAUAGUCUCAACGAGUGGAGCUCAAAUCCAGGCUAAUUUAGCCCGACUGCCAUAUGAGGUGAAAAGGGCUCAAAAAAUCGACCGAGAACCAACCUUGAAAAGAAUUGUGGAGCUUAAAUAAAAAAUGGAUUCAUUACGCGAGAGACGAGCGUGCGAAAGAUUAAGCCAACAGUCUAGGAAAAGUAAUGAGUUGACUGGCGCCCGUGUGUACUGUAAGGAUCAAUUUUUCACCAUGGACCCGGUAACAAAAAAGGUAAGAUCCAUCGAAUUUAGAUAUGGAAAAUUGAUUUAAACAAAUCCCCACGAUGAAGCUGUGGAAUAAAGUAAUAUUUUACCCUUUAUACAGGUGUACCUUUAUACAAAUCCAGAUGCAGUUAAAUUCAGAGCUGCAACAUUUACUUUAAAAAUGUUAAACAAGAUUGUUUACCAUAAAAUUUAAAUCUGAAGUUUCAAUUUUUUGCCAUUACCCAUAAUCAUUAAAUAUCAAAAAAAAAAAAUCUCAUGUCUUUUUGAUAUAUUCUUGAAACUUCAAUGCAUCAGCUGGAGGCACAUACCCAGACACCUUUGUCCCGUUUUCUUCGUAUUUCUACAUGAGAUUGUAAUUUUUAAAAUUUAAAUUAGUCAAAUGUUAAUAUAAGUUAAUUUUUAAAUAUGUGACUUACAAUCUCAUCAACUGUCCCAACUUUACUUAUAAGCGUGACUAGGUCCCGUCUCGUCUAAAUGAAGGAAAAGUAAAUUCCACCAUUAGUUAUUUUGAGAGUUAUCGAAGGAACUUUUCCAAACUGGUGGCUUCUAAAUACGAAACACAAAAAUUAUCUUCCAAAUGCAUAGCUUUUUCCUUGACCUCAUCGGGAUUUUGACACCUAUCAACCUGUCAAAAAAGUUUAGAGGAUAAACAAAUCAAAAAUAUGUUGUUAUUUGUUGGAUUUGAACCAAAUUAAAAGGCAGAACACUACUUUGUUCCAGAGCUUCACCAUGAGAAUAGUUGAAGCAUUUAAGUUAAAAAGCAUCUUGUCGACAGUAUCCAUUUGAUUUGCUACUAAUAGAUGACUGCAUUAAUAACAAUAUAACUUCAUUAUUAUGGUGUAAAUACAUUUUAUAAAAAUACAACAUAAUUAACCUUAUAUCAACUACAACUGCUAGUAGAAAAGAAUGUUUUAUCUCCUUAUAGGGGUAAAUGUAGAAAGCUUCAACACCAAAAACAAUAAUUGGUUCAUUAUUAGUAAAUUUAUAAUACAUAUCAGAAAAAAAAAAAAAAAAAAACUUACAAGGUAUGGGGGGUUUUGUAAAAACCCUAUAUUGUCCCGUAAAAAAUGUUCUUAAUAUUUUUAAUCUAAAAAAACGUUUAUAUAAAUCACUUCCAAUAAAAAAGUUUGUAAUAUUUGAAUUUUAUAAAGUAAGGUGGAACUCAUCCUCCUUGUAAAUGGAUUUAGUGUCGUAAAAAGUUGAUCCUCCGGUCAAGUUGUUGAAAAUACUACUUUCUCCCCGAGUUGGUGUAUCCAACAAAGGAAAUAGUAGGUAUACAUUCCUGUAUUGUUCUUGCCCGAGCUCUUCGCUCGUGCACAGACUCGAGUUCAAUUCCGAGCUCAUUAAUUUUUUUAAUACAUGUGCUCUGUUAACUUUUUUGGUGUUGUUCAUUUCAUGUUUUAGUCUCGCUAAGUCGACCUACAAAAUUUACAAUAUGUAAAGUUAAUUAUCAAUCAUCUUUAAAAGUAAAGAUACAUAAUUCAACCUGGACAUAAGCUUCUUUUGUUGAUGCUCUUUUGGUCAACAAAUCAACAAUAAGUUCUCUCUUAUCAAAUUUUACUUUGUUGCCAAGUUCAUCUUUUAGGUACUUGAGUUCAUCUUUAUAAUUCUAUUGGGUUAUCUGAUGAGAAACAAAAGUUGAAAUGUAAUGAAUUUAAAUCAACAAAGAAGAAAGACUUAAUGAGUGAAAUUUAGAACUAAAUGAAACACACAUAUCCACAUUUAAAAGCAUAAUCAAAUAAGAAGAAUGAAAGAAAACACCUAAAUGGAAAUAUAUAUAGGCUCUUUUGUGCUUCUUUUUAAGAAUUAUUCGUGUUUCCCAUUUUACCCUUUUUGAAAGCCUAUAUAUAGAGGUGUUUUCUUUCAAUUUUCUUAUUUGAUUAUGCUUUUAAAUGUGGAUAUGGGUGUUUAAUUCUAAAUUUCACUCAUUAAGUUUUUCUUCUUUGUUGAUUUAAAUUCAUUACAUUUUAACUUUUGUCUUUCAUCAGAUAACCCAACAGAAUUAUAAAUAUGAACUCCGAACUCAAGUACCUAAAAGAUGAACUUGGCGACAAAGUAAAAUUUGAUAGGAGGGAACUUCUUGUUGAUUUGUUGACCAAAAGAGCCUCGACAAAAGAAGCUCAUGUCCAGGUUGAAUACUCUAUUUUUACUUUUAAAGUUGAUUGAGAAUUAACUUUGCAUAUUGUAAAUUUUGUAGGUCAACUUAGCGAGACUAGAACAUGAAAUGAACAACAUCUAAAAAGUUAACAGAGCAUGUGUAUUAAAAAAAUUAACGAGCUUGGAAUUGAACUCGAGUCUGUGCGUGAGCGAAGAGCUCGCACAAGAACAAUGCAGGAACGUGUACUUACUAUUUCCCUUGUUGAAUACACCAACUCGGGGAGAAAAGUAGUAUUUUCAACAACUUGACCGGGUCGAGCGUUGCAGUCGAGGAUCAACUUUUUACCAUACUAGACCCGGUUACAAGGAAAGUGAGUUCUACCUUUACUUUACAAAAUUCAAAUAUUACAAUUUUUUUUAUUGAAACUAAUUUAUAUAGGCAUUUUUUUAGAUUAAAAAUUGUGAGAAUAUCCUUUUGCGGGAAUUGUAAGUUUUUUUUAUUUUUUCUGAUAUGUAUUAUCAAUUUACUAAUAACGAACUUAUGAUUUUUUUUGGUGUUGAAGCUUUCUGCAUUUACCCCUACAUUUGAGGAGAUAAAACAUUCUUCUCUACUAGCAGUUGUAGUUGAUAUAAAGUUGAUUAUGCUGUAUUUUUAUAAAAUGUAUUUGGACCUUAAUAAUGAAGUUAUAUUGUUAUUAAUGUAGUUAUCCACUAGUAGUAAAUUAGAUGGAUGCUGUCGAUAAGAUGUUUAUUGACUUAAAUGCUUCAACUAUUCCCAUGGUGAAGCUCUAGUAAUGUUUUGCCUUUUAAUUUGGUUCAAAUCCAACAAAUAGCAACAUACUUUUGACUAGUUUAUCCUUUAAACUUUUUUUGACAGGUUGAUAGGUGUCCAAAUCCCGAUGAAGUCAAGGAAAAAGCUACGCUUUUGGAAGAUACUUUUUGUGUUUCGUCUUUAGAAGCCACCAGUUUGGAAAUGUUCCUUCAAAAACUCUCAAAAAAAACUAAUGGUGGAAUUUACUUUUACUUAGUUAGAUGAGAUAGUCAGGCUUAAUAAGUAAGUUGGGACAGUAAUAAGAUUGUGAGUCAACAUAUAUAAAAAUUAGCUUAUUUUAACAUUUAACUAAUUUAAAUUUUAAAAAUUAUAAUUUUUUUGAUAUUAUGGGUAAUGGUAAAACAUUGAAACUUCCAUAUUUAAAUUUUAUGGUAAACAAUCCUCUUUAACAUUUUAGCCAAUUGUGGCACGAGGCAUCAUGUUUGAUUCCCACUAUGGGUUUCACUAAGUAAAUGUUCAUUAGCUAGAAAUGAAUAUCUUGUUGAAAGAAAUUGUAGAUUUUGCAAAAGAAAUAGUUUUCUUUUGUGAUCAACAUUCUUGUCAUUUUCUUGCAGCAAUUUUCCUGUCUUUAAGUUUGAAAGAAGAAAAAAGUUAACCAAGGAUAAGAGACAUCAAGUGUGAAAUACUUAUUACAUUGUAUUUCAGAUAGUUUAAAAAAACAAUUUAUUACCUCAUUAUAUUCCAUCAAGGAAUGAGAGAAAAAAAACAUCCCACCACGAUGGAAUGAAAUUCAGCCCAGGAGAAGGGAUCCAUUCCAUUCCUAUGUAGCAAACAAACAUGAUUUCUUCAUUUCAAACAUUACCUUAAGUCUUUUUAGUUUGAGGGAAUGGGUUGGACAGGUUAAUAUUAUAAUAAAAUGAGUCAUUACAUCC